rnacentral:rRNA from 1 species
GGGGAAUCUUGCGCAAUGGGCGAAAGCCUGACGCAGCAACGCCGCGUGGGGGAUGAAGGCUCUCGGGUUGUAAACCCCUUUCAGUAGGGACGAAAAUGACGGUACCUACAGAAGAAGCCCCGGCCAACUACGUGCCAGCAGCCGCGGUAACACGUAGGGGGCAAGCGUUGUCCGGAUUUAUUGGGCGUAAAGAGCUCGUAGGCGGUUCGGUAAGUUGGGUGUGAAACCUCCAGGCUCAACCUGGAGACGCCACCCGAUACUGCUGUGACUAGAGUCCGGUAGGGGAGCGUGGAAUUCCUGGUGUAGCGGUGAAAUGCGCAGAUAUCAGGAGGAACACCAGCGGCGAAGGCGGCGCUCUGGGCCGGAACUGACGCUGAGGAGCGAAAGCGUGGGUAGCAAAC